ACAGUCGCGGGAGUCGCCGCCGCCCGGCCAUGCCCCCGCCGCCGCCGCCCCGCCGCGCCGCCCGCCCGCCCGCGCUGCCCUGGCUGCUCGCCGCCUGCUGCCUCUGCGCCCUCCCGCGGGGCUCAGGGUUUCCCCAGCCGCUCUCUCGCCACUUGAACGGCAUGGACCUUCCCAAAAGUCAGCAACUGGCGCUGUGUUUCAGUCAGUGGAUGGAACUGUCUAAUCAACCCCAG